ACUCCCGGUCUGCGCGUAUCGAGAUCUGUCCGGCCCGGAGUCGAAAAGACCGGGGAGAGGGGCCCAGGAACGAUGCUCAGGCCAGAAGUAGAAUCUCGUUCGCGCCAACGUAGAACGAAGGUCCCGAGAGUCCUUUGCGCUGCGCCUCUCUGGCCCGCAGCCUACAUUUCCCGGGAGCCCCUGCGACGCGUGGGGACGCGGCGGCGCGCGGAGAGGAGCGUCGGGCGGCCGCGCGCGCAGUGGCUGCAUCUGAGGUGACCGCCUCGUCCCCCGGAUUCUCUGAGAGGUGUGCGGUGUGGACCCGCCCCUGGCACCUGGGCGUGAGUCCCGGGUUGUGACGGCGUGUGUGUACAAUCCUGACUGCAGUCGCAGUGUGGACUCUCCCCGCCGUCGAACAAUGACCCCACUGGCGUGUGCUACGAUCCACCCUAAUUCUGACCCUAUCUCGCUGGCGACGGCUCAGCCCCCAGGACGGCGCCUACCCUCCCGCCCCCAAAACCGGACCCCAGUUCCAGGUCUGUAGGUCAGAGUUUCUGGGGACCCUCCUCCGAGCGCUUAAUAUGCCAAGGGCGGAUCACAGACCUGGGAGAGGCGUCUUACUUACCAGUCACCAGCGUUACAAAAGGACGUAACCCAGAAAUGGCCCUGGAAGAGGCACAGGGUGAAGCUUCCACUCUUCCAGCGCCUCCACGCGUUCACCGACCCGGAAGCGCUCUGAACCGCGUCCUUUUUCGGAAGAGGCUACACCGCAAAGGCACGGUGGAUGAAGCCAUUGGCCAAUGAGAGUAUAUCUCAAGCAGUCUCUGUACUGGGAGUCUGAUGAGGGUC